UACGUAGGUGGCAAGCGUUGUCCGGAAUUACUGGGCGUAAAGCGUGCGCAGGCGGUUGUGCAAGACAGAUGUGAAAUCCCCGGGCUCAACCUGGGAACUGCAUUUGUGACUGCACGGCUGGAGUGCGGCAGAGGGGGAUGGAAUUCCGCGUGUAGCAGUGAAAUGCGUAGAUAUGCGGAGGAACACCGAUGGCGAAGGCAAUCCCCUGGGCCUGCACUGACGCUCAUGCACGAAAGCGUGGGGAGCAAACAGG
rnacentral:rRNA from 1 species